rnacentral:rRNA from 1 species
UGGGGAAUAUUGGACAAUGGGCGAAAGCCUGAUCCAGCCAUGCCGCGUGUGUGAAGAAGGUCUUCGGAUUGUAAAGCACUUUAAGUUGGGAGGAAGGGCAGUUACCUAAUACGUGAUUGUUUUGACGUUACCGACAGAAUAAGCACCGGCUAACUCUGUGCCAGCAGCCGCGGUAAUACAGAGGGUGCAAGCGUUAAUCGGAAUUACUGGGCGUAAAGCGCGCGUAGGUGGUUAGUUAAGUUGGAUGUGAAAUCCCCGGGCUCAACCUGGGAACUGCAUUCAAAACUGACUGACUAGAGUAUGGUAGAGGGUGGUGGAAUUUCCUGUGUAGCGGUGAAAUGCGUAGAUAUAGGAAGGAACACCAGUGGCGAAGGCGACCACCUGGACUGAUACUGACACUGAGGUGCGAAAGCGUGGGGAGCAAACAGGAUUAGAUACCCAAGUAGUCCCUGAG